rnacentral:lncRNA from 1 species
GCCUGGAACUUUGAAGAGUUUUAACUAUCACUAAUAUUCUGUACUACGUACCUUGUUCUCUUACCUCUACCUAAAGGUUUUCUGUAAGAGUUAAUAUUGUCCUAGUAAAAUAUGCCUAGGCAGACAUACAUUACUAGUAGAAAAAGUCCCUAGAGUGUUUAAAUUUUCGUUUGUGCCUAGGUUGCCAAUAAAAUUGCAACAAGACUUGAAACUCAAUUGUCACGUAUUUUACAUCGCAUUUAUAAAUGAUAUGUAUGGAAAACUUGGGCAAUUUUACUGCCAAAUAUUCUCCACUUUAAAGGCGUUUGUCACCUUUGGUUCAUGUCAGAUAUAAUGAAUAUAGCAAUACUGGUCGAAAGCAUCGUUAACAUUAUCAUCCUGAUCAACGGAUCACAAAAAGGCCAAGGACGUAUGUUAGUUAUACGUCCUUGCAAAAGGCCAUUCCUACAUAGAAUACAACGUCCGUUUACAAAAUAGUUUGUACACACGUUGAUAGUUUUGUAAAUGAACCUUGCUCUUCAAGUUUAAAGAUACAGAGUAAGGGAGCUACCAUUUGAUUUUUAUGGGGGGGCUAGGAUGAAAUUUGAAAAAAAUAGGCAGGACAGGAGUUUUGAGUAAAAAAAAAGGCAGGAUGAGACACUUUGCAAAAAAAAAGGCAGGAUGACAAUUUAGGUAAAAAAAAGUCAGGAUAAACUAAUAAAAAAAAAGGCAGGACCAAAUAGCAUGAAUAGAGGGAAAAACAAGAGGCUCUCAAGAGCCUGAAUCGCUC